rnacentral:lncRNA from 1 species
UCAAGAAAGAAAAGUAGGAGUACAAGGGAGAGAGGUGCGGCCGUGCAGGACGACUGCACGUGGCGCCCCUGGUUUCUUUACAAUUUGUGCAAGAUAUCCAACGGCGCUGAGCGCGUUCGGGCUGAAACUCAAAAAGCUAACGUUCAUGACUUAUCUAUUUCCUACAUACAUUCAUGACGUUCUAGAUACAUCUUCUUUUAUCCAUUUUGAUGACAAGUAUUUCUGGACAGAGGGAGUAUCUCUUUACUGCACGAUAAGAGCACAUACGUACAUAUUUUCUUCACUGCACUAUAAGAGUUGCGUCCAGUAAGCCACAUAGUUCCAUAACUUCGAAUGUACCCAAGUGGUCGAACGCAAGCGCCCUCAUAUGGACAGGGCAACAAGGGCAACACGACCCAACUAGUAGUACUACGCAAAAGAGCCCCAAACCCCACCAACACUAGUGAUUCUUCCCGCGUCACAGGAGAGGCAAACUACCACCAAAAUCCAGACAGUUUCGAGACGAUCAUCUUCAGCCGACUACCUUAGUUUCGCGGGACCAGUGGAGACUAUCUGCAGAGGCUACACCGUUUGCUCAACAGCUUGCAUUUCCUCCGGCUCCUAGCCGAGGUGUUCUUCUGUUCUUCUUCUUCCGGCAUGCCAGACGUCUUGAGCUCUACUGCCAGCUCUUCCACGGGCCUUCUACGACCUUCAUGCUUGUCUUCAAGCCUAGGGCUCCUCCAAGUCCAAGGUGUAUCGGCAUGGAAGAGCUUCCUGCGGCGUUUCGUCUUCGCUCUCCGCGGCUUGGCGACACAGGCUUCAAAAGUCAGAGCCUUCGGAGAGAGGGAAUCAGGUCCUGCAGCAAGAAAAUUGUAUCUCUGUGAUGGUGUUUCUGCUAAUUCAGAAAUAUGUAUUGGUGCAAUGUUUUCUCGAUGUCGAUUAUCUGCAUUAUAAACGUGUAUUACUGAACUGAGAGAGGAAUGGGGAAGAACAUACCGGGGAACGUCACAGCUGUUGCAGUGUGAGGACAAGUCUGUGAUACAGCAGCUUCCUCUGGAUUUCCAGACUCCUUUUCAGUAACAACGGCUGUUGGAGUGUGAGGACAAGUCUCCGCUGACGGCAAGCCUCCGCUGCUCCAUGCCGCCAAGAGCCGCCGCCAUGAAUAUGUAAAAAGAAACACCGCUCCACCGAAGAAGCCAUCCGCUGGUCCCUCGAGCGCGAGUGCAUCUUCAAUAAUGCCGCCUCCAAGGGGGUAACGACAUAUGAAUGCCGCCGUCAUCCGAUCAACUGAUCUAGGGUUUUCUUUGGAGGUAUUGGGUGGGUUUGGGAUUUGUACUUCGAUGAUGCCUUCAUAAAGGAAACGAUGAUAAGGGCAUCGUCAUCUCCGGCUCCGGCCAACGACCGAAGACCAAGUUUUCUCUCGGAUCCGUCCCAAGACAUCCACCCGACAACCUGUGCACUAUCUCGACCGCCUUCAAAGCUCCAGAUCUAGCCGCCUAGAUUCAGCGACCAACCGCAACAACAAUGCCACCGUAGGAGCCCUGGCACACCGGCCACUGCCUGAAUGCGCCACCACUGGAGCCUGGGAGGAGGCUCCCACUCCACCUCGCCAAACCGCGAGAGCCGCCGAGAUCGAUCCUGCACGCUCAUCACCGUCUCUGAUUUGAACCAAUCCGCGGCAAAACCACGAGAUCGGCGAUGCAGAUCCGCCUUGAAUAGGGACAACACCACGCCAUGCCGUCGCGGGAAGCCCGAGCUUCACCCGCCGCUACCUUCCAGGGCCGCUGCCGACGAUUUGUGCAAGAUAUCCAACGGCGCUGAGCGCGUUCGGGCUGAAACUCCAAAAAAAACUGACGUUCAUGACUUAUCUAUUUCCUACGUACGUACUGUAUCUCUUUACUGCACGAUAAGAGCACAUACGUACAUAUUUUCUUCACUGCACUAUAAGAGCUGCGUCCAGUAAGCCACAUAGUUCCAUAACUUCGAAUGUACCCAAGUGGUCGAACGCAAGCGCCCUCAUAUGGACAGGGCAACAAGGGCAACACGACCCAACCAGUAGUAUACUACGCAAAAGAGCCCCAAACCCCACCAACACUAGUGAUUCUUCCCGCGUCACAGGAGAGGCAAACUACCACCAAAAUCCAGACAGUUUCGAGACGAUCAUCUUCAGCCGACUACCUUAGUUUUGCGGGACCAGUGGAGACUAUCUGCAGAGGCUACACCGUUUGCUGAACAACUUGCAUUUCCUCCGGCUCCUAGCCGAGGUGUUCUUCUGUUCUUCUUCUUCCAGCAUGCCAGAAGCCUUGCGCUCUACUGCCAGCUCUUCCACGGGCCUUCUGCGACCUUUAUGCUUGUCUUCAAGCCUAGGGCUCCUACAAGUCCAAGGUGUAUCGGCAUGGAAGAGCUUCCUGCCACGUUUCGCCUUCGCUCUCCGCGGCUUGGCGACACAGGCUUCAAAAGUCAGAGCCUUCGGAGAGGGGGGAUCAGGACCUGCAG